rnacentral:rRNA from 1 species
AUGAUCACACGGCCCUCCCUCGACCAUGACCUGCCGCUGCUACAAGGAAGGAUGGGAAGAAGAAUCCACAUCGAUAGCACCACUACUUCUACAGUGCUGGUGGUACUAGUACUACUAGUGCUGGGAGGGGAGAGGGAGCAAUCAAGCAGUCGCGCCGCACGUGACCAUCCAUCCCUCCAAGAAAGAGAGAGAAACAGAGAGCGAGCGAGCGAGCGGAGAAGGCAACGCACGCCAAUUAACACGCCGCCCGGCCCAAGGAAACGAACAAGGAGCGAAGCCACCAAACCAAACACCAAACGCUACUCCUGCUUCUCCCUCUUCUCCCCCUGUUAG